AUCACUUCAAGAUUUCCCUUUCAUAAUUUCUGCAUCUAUAUACUCUCUUCACCCGUUUCUUUUUCUGUUCCUGCGAGGUGUUUUUUUGGAAGUUCACAUUUUUCCUUCCCAGUCAUUCAUCUCCAGUAAGGCUGCUUCCGAAGAUUCAUGGCAGGAAAGACCAAGAACAAGAUGCAAAGUGAUGUGGGUUGUGGUUUCAUGGGGAGGAUUUUCAAUCUUACAUGCUAUAAGCUGAGGAAAUCAUCUGUUCAUUCACUGCCCUCGAAGGCUAGCAAUAAUGUCCACAACGACCAGAGCAACACUGAAUCCAAGAAGCCGCCAAAUCUUGAACCCAAGGCUCCUUCAACCAAUUUGCACAAAUCAGCCAGAAAGAGCCCUUCCGGUCAUCGAACACCUCCUACCAUUCGAAAGAACCAACAUCCGAGACCUUCAGACGCUGCAAGAAGCUCAACCUCAUCCUCUGGCAAUUCUCGCCCAAUUAAGAUUCAACAAAACCACAAGUUGAAUGUUGAUCGCAGGACACGGAGACAGCCUACUGAAAACUCGCUGGAGCUUGCUAGAGUAAGCACUUGUUAUCAGCGAGAAAACGAGAAUAAAUCCCCACUCAAACUUACUGGUAAUCUGCUUGUAAACAAUAGCCCAACAACUAGAACUAGGAGUCGUGAAACUAUUCCAAGGAAUAAAGAUGUGAUGAACUCAGCUCUCAAGUCUCACACUACCUCAAGUAUAGGCGUCACGGGGAAUAUUAUGAGGGAGAGCACUGAUGAACUUGCGCAGCUCCGGAGUCCCAAGAACAGAGUAGACCCUGAAGUGUUGAAGACAAUGGGAAACGAAGCAUAUAAGCAAGGAAGAUUUGAACAGGCUUUGUCUUUGUAUGAGCGAGCGAUUGCUGUUGAUUCAAAUAAAGCAACGUUCCACUGCAAUAAGAGUGCUGCUUUGAUAGGAUUAGGCCGUCUUCUGGAAGCAAUUGUUGAGUGCCAAGAAGCUAUCCGGUUGGAACCAUCUUAUAACAGACCCCAUCACCGUUUGGCAACCAUAUAUCUCAGAUUGGGGGAAGCAGAAAAGGCACUAAGUUACAAUGUCGCAACCCCAUAUUCUGAUCCUGCACUCGCCUUCCAAGCUCAGUCUCUUCGCAAUCACCUUCAAAAGUGCAUUGAAGCAAGGAAAAUCAACGACUGGGAUGCUAUACUGAACGAAACGCAUUCUGCUAUAUCAUUAGGUGCUGAUUCAAGCCCUCAGGUGUAUGCGUUGCAAACAGAAGCCUUACUCAAGCUCUUCAGACAUCAAGAGGCAUAUGCUACCUAUGAGAAAAUGCCCAAAUUUGCUAUUAAUUGGUGCACCAAGUUAUUUGGUCUGGCUCGUAGUGCUUAUCUGUUUAUGAUAGGAGCGCAAGCUUACUUGGCAGCUGGCAGGUUCGAGGAUGCGGUGACAGCAGCUGAGCAAGCAGCUAAACUUGAUCCAAGCGACAAAGAGGUGAGUGUAGUGGUAAAGAAGGCCAGAGCGAUGUCAUUAGCCAGAAUGAGGGGAAACUCACUGUCCAAGGCAUCCAAAUAUACGGAAGCAUGUGCUGUGUACAACGAAGUACUGGAGCACGAUCCAUACAACUCAGUUCUCCUAUGCAACAGAGCAGCAUGUCGUUAUAAGCUGGGUCAAUUUGAGAAAGCGAUUGAAGAUUGUAAUGCAGCCCUUGCGGUUCAGCCUAGUUAUAGCAAGGCACGGUUCAGGAGGGCAGAUUGCAAUGCCAAGUUGGAAAGAUGGGAAGCUGCAAUUCAAGACUAUGAAAUGCUAUUGAGAGAAAGGCCAGGGGAUGAGGAGGCGGGAAGGGCUUUGUUUGAGGCUCAGCUUCAACUCAAGAUGUUGUGUGGGGAAGAUGUCAAGGACGUCAAAUUUGGGUGUAAUUUGGUUUUUGUAUCGAGCAAUGAUCGGUUUCGACAUUAUGUAACCUCGCCUGGUAUGUCUGUGGUGCUAUUUUGCAACAAGGCAACCCACAAGCAAGAAUUGCUAGUGUUGGAGCAAACCUGCAAGAGAUUUCCGUCCGUCAAUUUCCUCAAGGUGGAAAUUGAUGACCACCCCUACUUAGCGAAAUCAGAAGGGGUGAGCUCUGUCCCAGCCUUCAAAAUAUACAAGAAUGGAUCAAAGGUUGAGGAAAUUCCAGGCAACAAUCACGAGUUGCUAGAAAGAUCUGUCAAAUUAUAUAGCAGUUGAGAACACUGCAAGGAACACACAAAGAGGUUGAAAGGCAAAAGAGCCUUCCAUGCAAAAUUUUACAUUGGUUUGGCAAAUUUGACGAGUGUUUUCUUUCUUCCUGUGAAGAGUUUGACGGAGUGGACCUGACUUUGUUGUAGUUAGAUAACAUUUGUGAAAUAUAUGUAAAUUCUUGUUCUGCCUUCUCUGUGUUUGAGAAAAUGAUUCAUUAAAGGAAAAAAAGGAGAAUAGU